AYCGGGAUCCCCUAGUACGGCGAGUGAACCGGGAAGAGCUCAAAUUUGAAAUCUGGCGUCCUCAGGGCGUCCGAGUUGUAAUCUAUAGAGGCGUUUUCCGUGCCGGACCGUGUCCAAGUUCCUUGGAACAGGAUAUCAAAGAGGGUGACAAUCCCGUACUUGACACGACGACCGGUGCUCUGUGAUACGUCUUCUACGAGUCGAGUUGUUUGGGAAUGCAGCUCAAAAUGGGUGGUGAGUUCCAUCUAAAGCUAAAUAUUGGCGAGAGACCGAUAGCGAACAAGUACCGUGAGGGAAAGAUGAAAAGCACUUUGGAAAGAGAGUUAAACAGUACGUGAAAUUGUUGAAAGGGAAACGAUUGAAGUCAGUCGUGACCGAGAGGCUCAGCCGGUUCUGCCGGUGUAUUCCCCUCGGUCGGGUCAACAUCAGUUUUGUCCGGUGGAUAAGGGCGGUAGGAAGGUGGCACCCUCGGGUGUGUUAUAGCCUGCCGUCGCAUACAUCGGGUGAGACUGAGGAACGCAGCUCGCCUUUAUGGCCGGGGUUCGCCCACGUCCGAGCUUAGGAUGUUGACAUAAUGGCUUUAAACGACCCGUCUUGAAACMCGGGACMAAA
rnacentral:rRNA from 1 species